rnacentral:rRNA from 1 species
GAUGAACGCUGGCGGUAUGCUUAACACAUGCAAGUCGAACGGACUCUUCGGAGUUAGUGGCGGACGGGUGAGUAACGCGUGAGAAUCUGGCUUUGGGUUCGGGACAACCACUGGAAACGGUGGCUAAUACCGGAUGUGCCGAGAGGUAAAAGAGAAAUUGCCUGAAGAUGAGCUCGCGUCUGAUUAGCUAGUUGGUGAGGUAAAGGCUCACCAAGGCAGCGAUCAGUAGCUGGUCUGAGAGGAUGACCAGCCACACUGGGACUGAGACACGGCCCAGGCUCCUACGGGAGGCAGCAGUGGGGAAUUUUCCGCAAUGGGCGAAAGCCUGACGGAGCAAUACCGCGUGAGGGAAGAAGGCUCUUGGGGUGUAAACCUCUUUUCUUAGGGAAGAACAAAAUGACGGUACCUAAGGAAUCAGCAUCGGCUAACUCCGUG